GCGGCGGAGGAUGGCGCGGGGCUAAACGGCAGGCGCCGCACGCGGCGGCGGCGGCGGCGCGGGAGCGAGAGUUGAGAGCCAGCAAGGAGCAGCAAGGCUGGGUGAAGAUCCCAGGAAGGGCAAACUGGAGGGCAGGAAGCUGCAGGAGCCCAUCUCUGAGCCCUUGAGAAGAGGGUUUCCUGGAGGGCCCUGCGCUGGCGUUUGUGGCCAUGGUGAGAGGCUGGAGAAGGUGGAUGCUCUCACUGCCUCGCCAGAGCUGAAGCCUGAGAGGAGGAGGAAGAUGCUGGCCUUCCUCAGCCAUGCCGUAGCCUGCCUCUGCUCCGACCUGGCCCUCUCGACUCUCUGCCUGUCCUGGCUCCUCUCCUGCACCCUUGGCCAGCGGUCAGCACAGCCAAAGGGCCGGGUGUGGUCUGUUCCAUGGUGCCACGCCGCACCACUGUGGCCACCCGCUUUGCUGCUGUGCUGUGAGACGAGCUGUGGGCCGGCUCCAUCCACCAGGACCUGCCUGUGCUGGAGCAGCUGGACUCUCUGGUGACCACUGGCUACACCACUUUGGCCUUUCAGAGCCUGGCCAGCCCCCGGCUGGUGGAGGAGCUGGCGACUGGGUUGAUGUUCUGAGUGGCCUACAGACCCCACUGCCCUGCCUGGACUUCUCCAGGGCCAGUGGCUGCUCUCCGAAGCCACGGCCACCUUUUGCCCAGCCCCUGCAGACUGCCCUGUUGAUGGGGCGCCCCCAGCCAAGAGGAGCUGGUUUGCAUGUCGCAGUCCUGCUGCUUUAUUGGGGGCUGGUAGGGAAAACCCUUCUGAGCACAUAUGCUUGGUGUAGGUCUGCUCGGGAAGGCCACCGCAGCAGGCAGUGGAAGAACUCAGGGUCGUAGCAGGAGCUGAGGAGGACGGCAGCAGCCAGAGAGAAGCCGACAGCCAGCUCCAUGCUAACCAAGAGCCCUGUGGGGCAGAAGAGCGAUGCAAGGCGGGACAGGGUGGAUGCUGCCAGCCCCAUGUCUCCUCUGGGCUGAAGGAGCCGUUCAGGGAGCCCCAUGGGCUGCCCCCCAGCUGUUUCUCAUUGCUCCCUCAGGCAGGAUGGGACACAGGACCUCUCAACCCUGGGGAGCCCUGAGGCUGGUCCCUGCGCAGCUGCAGAGCCCAGCGCCGGGCAGCAGCGCACACCAGCAGCCUGGGCUUGUGAGCCCGGCCAGAUGGAGCAGGCGCCCGGCAUAUCCACCCGCUGCCUGGAGCGGGGCACAGGGCACCCCAUGGGGAGACUCGCUGCAGGCAGGAACAGCAGCCACGUCUCCUGGCCAGCACGUGCCUCUCCUGCUCUUGUGCCACAACCUUUUUCAGAUUCUGUGGGUGGGAUGGGAGCAGAAUGGGAAGAGUGGGAAACCCAGAGAGUUGAGAAAAGAGCAGUUUAGUAAGUACAACGGAAUGCUACUACUAAUAAGUAACGUACGAUGGAAUAUACUAAUAACAAGAAAAAACAUACAAUGGAAUACUACUAAUAACAAUAACUAGAGGCCAAUGUAAUAAUAAUAUCUAAACUACAACGUACUACUACUGAUAUACAGCAGAAUACUAGUACUACUACUAAUAUACAGCAGAGUACUAGUACUACUCAUAUACAGCAGAAUACUAGUACUACUGCUAGCAACUAAAGUAUGACAAAGUUAUUAAAUUGUAACUGAAGGACAAGGUAAUUCUACUCUAAUGAAAUACUGCUACUAACAACAAUAAGAGCAACAGCACGGUUGAGCUCAGCCCAAGGGUGGCUAUUUCCGCUGGCGGCGGUGGAUCUUCAUGUGGGAGUUCCUGCCCUGGAUGGUGUUGAAGAGCCUGGAAGGUAGAAAACAUGCAGGGAUUUGUAAUUCCUGUUGACAAUUCCACCAUCACCCUCAAGCCAAGCUCCCGAGUUUCUGUUUGGGGGAUCUGGGGGGAUUUGGGCAGGUCGGUGUUUAAACAAAGCACAUGGUUGGGGUGGAAGCUGGUUGUAAAGGCGUAGGAAGGCCAAGGGGGAUCCUGAGCUCCACCUCCUGCUCGGGAAGUUUCCGUUUAGUUUCCAGAAGAAGCUAAAUCCAGAGUCACCUUGGGCACUCAGGGCAGGGAAAUCCACUCCCAUCACCGCCGCCGCGGGGCUGCUCCGGAGCCCGGCGCCGGUUCUGCCGCUCUGGUGUUACGUGUUCGGGCGGCAGAACACGGCGCCUCUUCUUGGGGCUGCACAGGGUCUGUAAACCAGAGAGAGUUUAUUGCUUUAUUCCUUCUUCUUCCUUCUCUUCCCAAAAGGUGGAGAGCUGAAGGGAAAAACGAGCUUAAAAUCUCUGGGAAGGGCCCGGGCACAUGGGAAUGUGUUAGAUCCAGCACAAACCCCAACUAUCAGCCAGAGCCUGCCCUGGUGAGCUCCUCUGAACGCCAAUGAGCCCAAAAAUGGUUUAAUGGGAUGGUGAGGAUGGGCACCUCAGCAGAAGAUUGGGAUGAUUUUGGGUGCCGGGAGCGGAGUUGUCCUUUCCUGCCCCAAAGUUGCAAGCGGAUAACAACUGAGCACCUUCUCUUCGAGCUCCUCCACCUCCUGCAGCAGCCUCUUGGUCUUCCCUCCUGUUAGCAGAAAUCUGCUGCUGCCAAAGCGAAUCUUCUUUUUCCAGAUGUAAUAAUAUUCGACACAUUGGGACACUGACUUAGUUGGAAUCUGUUGUGAGCAAACCAGAAGCAAUCUGUAAGGGCGAUGCAGGAGGCAAACACCGAAGGCACACACAUACAACAAAUCCAUCCAGCGGCUUUACCUGCUUCUGUAUCAUGUGGAAAUUAUUCUUGUAUUUCCGAAAAGCCCGAUGAAAGAGCUGCUGCUCCAGGGGGGUCCAUGUGUCUGUGCCUGGGAGGGACCCGCAAGGUGUAAAUGAGGAGAUGACCGCAGCCACAGAGACAUCAGCACAGCUCCUCACUGCCCUAUCGACAUCUCUGCUCCUUCAGAGAGCAACUGCCCAAGCCCAGAGCCCCACGCUGGAGGUUACCUGCAUAAUGGUACCCAGCCAGCGGGUGAUGUUCUAAUGGCUGGGAACCCCCCUGGCGCAGCAGCUCCAGAGCCUCCUGUGGAAGUGAAUGGAAAACUCGUUGGUGACAGCGCUCCAGGAUGCCCUCGGCCGCGGGAAGGUGUGGGAAUGAUCCACACGCCGAGGCAGGUCCGUGCUCCACCAGCCCUUAACGCGGCUGCGGCAACAAGAACCGGGCCCUUGAGCCAAGAGAGCAGAUUGCAGCGCGUGGAGCAGAGACCUGGCAGCGCCUCCAGCUCGCCCCAGGGACACAGAGGCCGUCCCAGAGCGUUAUUAAUGACGCCCCAAGAGCUGCUCUUACCAGGACGUCGCCGCGCGCCUCGUGCAGGCAGUGCAGGGCACGCUCUGUGGUGGUCCUGGCGCGCGGCACGUCUCUGGAGGUGGCCAUGGCGAGGAGCUCGGUCACUGCAAGCACAACGGGAACAAGGGGAAGUCAAGGUUCUGUCCAAACAAGGGGAGACGGGAGACGGGAGGAAAAUCUUGGGGGUCCUUUGGAAGAAAGGCAUUAAAGAAACCUCGGUCAGGUGUUUCCGGGUCCCACACCGAGGAUGCUUUCUCCUCCUCCUCCUCCCGCUCCAAAUGGGAUGGAUCCCAGAGCUCUGGGAUCUCUGCCUGAUAGGCCGCACCGAUGUUAAUGUGCCUGCAGUAAGGAGAAAGAGGAGGUGAGGAAGGCGAGUGGUGAAGAGGUGGCCCCACACAGCCGAUGGCACUCGAAGUGACCACAUGCCGACCCUCAGAGCUGAAGCAGGGUCGCCAGAGCCUGCUGUUCAGGACCACGUGCAGGCUGGGACAGGAAAAGGGUUCCAGUGCUGGCCCAUGUACCCCAGCAACCACGGGCAGCGGCGUGGCUGGGGAGGACAUGUCCUUUGGGGUGCGCAAUGCAGGGGUUGGGCUUGUGGAGAUCCCCCAGGCCAGUGGCUGUGCUGCAGAGGGGACCCUGAUGUGGGUUGGCACCCCGUGGCUGGGGAUGCCCUGUGGCACCGUGGCUCCCUGCAGAGCAUCUCACUUGCUUUCCAGAGGGAGCAGUGGGCAGAGCUGACAGGAGUUGUUCGGCUUGGGGGCCGGGGCUCUGCCUUAGGCAGCGGGAUGCCCGUGCCAGUGGUGCAAGGUCCCACAGGGUGUUCAAAGGGGGUGGUGGGAAAGAGCCAAGUCCAAUUUGGCCUCUGCUCUGCCUGAGCCCUCUCCCAUCCUGCAGGAGACUGUGUGUGUUCCUCAUUGUGCUGAUGGUGGCCAUCUUCCUGGUCCUGCUGAAGAGGGACAUCCUUAACUGGGUCCUGCCACCAAAGCUGGCGGCUGCCCUUGGGAGCCGCCGAGCGAGGCCCUGGUUCUUUUGACAUCAAACUAGAAGAGAAUAAAGAGAUCUGUGAUUGUAGGA